rnacentral:rRNA from 1 species
AAGACCUUGCGCUUUUGGAGCGGCCGAUGUCUGAUUAGCUAGUUGGUGGGGUAAUGGCCUACCAAAGCUUCGAUCAGUAGCUGGUCUGAGAGGACGGCCAGCCACACUGGGACUGAGACACGGCCCAGACUCCUACGGGAGGCAGCAGUGGGGAAUUUUGGACAAUGGGCGCAAGCCCGAUCCAGCCAUGCCGCGUGAGUGAAGAAGGCCUUCGGGUUGUAAAGCUCUUUCAGCCGGGAAGAAAAGGCUGCGACUAAUAAUCGCAGUUCAUGACGGUACCGGAAGAAGAAGCACCGGCUAACUACGUGCCAGCAGCCGCGGUAAUACGUAGGGUGCGAGCGUUAAUCGGAAUUACUGGGCGUAAAGGGUGCGCAGGCGGUUUUGUAAGUCAGAUGUGAAAUCCCCGGGCUUAACCUGGGAACU